CACGGCCGGCUUUUAAGAUGGCGCCGCAGAAAGACAAGAAGCCUAAGAGGUCAACCUGGAAGUUUAGUUUGGACCUUACUCAUCCAGUAGAAGAUGGGAUUUUUGAUUCUGGAAAUUUUGGUACCUUCCCUAGUGAAUAUCUAGGGUUUUCUUCCCUAGUUUUGCAUUUUUUAUGUUUUAAAAUAGGAACAGUUUCUACGGGAGAAGGUUAAAGUCAAUGGAAAAACUGGAAAUCUUGGGAAUGUUGUUCGCAUUGAACGCUUCAAGAAUAAAAUCACAGUUGUUUCUGAGAAACAGUUCUCUAAAAGGUAUUUGAAAUAUCUUACCAAGAAAUACCUUAAGAAGAACAAUCUUCGUGAUUGGCUUCGUGUGGUUGCAUCUGACAAGGAGACUUAUGAACUUCGUUACUUCCAGAUUAGUCAAGAUGAAGAGGAAUCCGAGUCUGAGGACUAGAUGAAGCUGCUCCUUAAAGGGCUUUGCUUACUAAUAAAAUAAAUGAAGCAUACAAGAGAAAGAAACAUCUAGAAAUGGACAUUUAGUUUAUUGGUGAAUAAAAAACAUUGU